AGAGUUUGAUCCUGGCUCAGGAUGAACGCUAGCGGCAGGCCUAAUACAUGCAAGUCGAACGGUCUCUAGCAAUAGAGAUAGUGGCGCACGGGUGCGUAACGCGUAACCAACCUACCCACAUCUGGGGGAUAGCCCGCCGAAAGGCGGAUUAAUACCGCAUAAGCUACUUGACCGGCAUCGGUUGGAUAGUAAAGAUUUAUUGGAUGUGGAUGGGGUUGCGUGCCAUUAGCUAGUUGGGGGGGUAACGGCCCACCAAGGCGACGAUGGCUAGGGGAGCUGAGAGGCUGGUCCCCCACACGGGCACUGAGAUACGGGCCCGACUCCUACGGGAGGCAGCAGUAGGGAAUAUUGGGCAAUGGCCGAGAGGCUGACCCAGCCAUGCCGCGUGCAGGAUGAAGGCUUUCUGAGUCGUAAACUGCUUUUGCCAGGGAAGAAUAAGGAUCGUGCGCGGUCCGACGACGGUACCUGGUGAAUAAGCACCGGCUAACUCCGUGCCAGCAGCCGCGGUAAUACGGAGGGUGCAAGCGUUGUCCGGAUUUAUUGGGUUUAAAGGGUGCGUAGGCGGCCGAUUAAGUCCGGGGUGAAAGCCCGUUGCUCAACAACGGAACUGCCCUGGAAACUGGUCGGCUUGAGUACAGACGAGGGCGGCGGAAUGGAGGGUGUAGCGGUGAAAUGCAUAGAUACCCUCCAGAACCCCGAUUGCGAAGGCAGCUGCCUAGACUGUAACUGACGCUGAGGCACGAAAGCGUGGGGAGCGAACAGGAUUAGAUACCCUGGUAGUCC
rnacentral:rRNA from 1 species